CAGCCGCCGCGGUAAUGCGAAGGGUGCAAGCGUUAAUCGGAAUUACUGGGCGUAAAGCGUGCGUAGGCGGUGAGUUAAGUCUGCUGUGAAAUCCCCGGACUCAACCUGGGAAUGGCAGUGGAUACUGGCUCGCUAGAGUGUGUCAGAGGAUGGUGGAAUUCCCGGUGUAGCGGUGAAAUGCGUAGAGAUCGGGAGGAACAUCAGUGGCGAAGGCGGCCAUCUGGGACAACACUGACGCUGAGGCACGAAAGCGUGGGGAGCAAACAGGAUUAGAUACCCCCGUAGUCCCUGUCUCUUAUAC
rnacentral:rRNA from 1 species